rnacentral:rRNA from 1 species
GACGAACGCUGGCGGCGUGCUUAACACAUGCAAGUCGAACGGAAAGGCCCUGCUUUUGUGGGGUGCUCGAGUGGCGAACGGGUGAGUAACACGUGAGUAACCUGCCCUUGACUUUGGGAUAACUUCAGGAAACUGGGGCUAAUACCGGAUAGGAGCUCCUGCUGCAUGGUGGGGGUUGGAAAGUUUCGGCGGUUGGGGAUGGACUCGCGGCUUAUCAGCUUGUUGGUGGGGUAGUGGCUUACCAAGGCUUUGACGGGUAGCCGGCCUGGGAGGGUGACCGGCCAAAUUGGGACUGAGAUGCGGCACGGACCCCUCCGGGAGGGAGCGGUGGAGAAUGGUGCAUAAUGGGCGGAAGCCUGAUGCAGCAACGCCGCGUGGGGGAUGACGGCCUGCGGGUUGUAUACCGCUUUCGCCUGUGACGAAGCGUGAAUGACGGUAAUGGGUAAAGAAGCACCGGCUAACUACGUG